GAUGAACGCUAGCUACAGGCUUAACACAUGCAAGUCGCGGGGCAGCAUGGGGGUUGCUUGCAAUCCCCGAUGGCGACCGGCGCACGGGUGAGUAACGCGUAUCCAACCUGCCCUUCACCACGGGAUAACCCGGCGAAAGUCGGACUAAUACCGUAUGUUGUCCAUUGACGGCAUCCGAUUUGGACGAAAGGCUUGGCGGUGAGGGAUGGGGAUGCGUCCGAUUAGCCAGACGGCGGGGUAACGGCCCACCGUGGCUACGAUCGGUAGGGGUUCUGAGAGGAAGGUCCCCCACACUGGAACUGAGACACGGUCCAGACUCCUACGGGAGGCAGCAGUGAGGAAUAUGGGUCAAUGGGCGUAAGCCUGAACCAGCCAAGUAGCGUGCAGGAGGACGGCACUAUGGGUGGUAAACUGCUUUUAUGCGGGGAUAAAGUGGCCCACGGGUGGGCUUUUGCAGGUACCGCAUGAAUAAGGACCGGCUAAUUCCGUG
rnacentral:rRNA from 1 species